rnacentral:rRNA from 1 species
UACGUAGGGGGCAAGCGUUGUCCGGAAUCAUUGGGCGUAAAGCGCACGUAGGCGGCCCGGUAAGUCCGUUGUGAAAGUCAGAGGCUCAACCUCUGGAGGCCAAUGGAUACUGCCGGGCUAGAGUCCGGAAGAGGCGAGUGGAAUUCCUGGUGUAGCGGUGAAAUGCGUAGAUAUCUGGAGGAACACCGGUGGCGAAGGCGGCAUCCUGGACCGGUAUUGACGCUGAGGAGCGAAAGCCAGGGGAGCAAACGGG